AGGGACAGAAGUUAAAAUUCAGGAAUUUA
rnacentral:piRNA from 1 species